UACGUAGGGUGCGAGCGUUAAUCGGAAUUACUGGGUACGUAAGCGUGCGCAGGCGGUGAUGUAAGACCGAUGUGAAAUCCCGGCUUAACCUGGAACUGCAUUGGUGACUGCAUUGCUGGAGUAUGGCAGAGGGGGUGGAAUUCCACGUGUAGCAGUGAAAUGCGUAGAGAUGUGGAGGAACACCGAUGGCGAAGGCAGCCCCCUGGGCCAAUACUGACGCUCAUGCACGAAAGCGUGGGGAGCAAACAGG
rnacentral:rRNA from 1 species